UACGUAGGGGGCAAGCGUUGUCCGGAAUCAUUGGGCGUAAAGAGCGUGUAGGCGGCCCGGUAAGUCCGCUGUGAAAGUCCAGGGCUCAACCCUGGGAUGCCGGUGGAUACUGUCGGGCUCGAGUCCGGAAGAGGAGUGUGGAAUUCCUGGUGUAGCGGUGAAAUGCGCAGAUAUCAGGAGGAACACCAAUGGCGAAGGCAGCACUCUGGGACGUGACUGACGGCUGAGACGCGAAAGCGUGGGGAGCAAACAGG
rnacentral:rRNA from 1 species